rnacentral:rRNA from 1 species
UUAAGCGACUAAGCGUACACGGUGGAUGCCCUGGCAGUCAGAGGCGAUGAAGGACGUGCUAAUCUGCGAUAAGCGUCGGUAAGGUGAUAUGAACCGUUAUAACCGGCGAUUUCCGAAUGGGGAAACCCAGUGUGAUUCGUCACACUAUCAUUAACUGAAUCCAUAGGUUAAUGAGGCGAACCGGGGGAACUGAAACAUCUAAGUACCCCGAGGAAAAGAAAUCAACCGAGAUUCCCCCAGUAGCGGCGAGCGAACGGGGAGGAGCCCAGAGCCUGAAUCAGUGUGUGUGUUAGUGGAAGCGUCUGGAAAGGCGCGCGAUACAGGGUGACAGCCCCGUACACAAAGAUGCACAUGCUGUGAGCUCGAUGAGUAGGGCGGGACACGUGGUAUCCUGUCUGAAUAUGGGGGGACCAUCCUCCAAGGCUAAAUACUCCUGACUGACCGAUAGUGAACCAGUACCGUGAGGGAAAGGCGAAAAGAACCCCGGCGAGGGGAGUGAAAAAGAACCUGAAACCGUGUACGUACAAGCAGUGGGAGCACAGAGCAAUCUGUGUGACUGCGUACCUUUUGUAUAAUGGGUCAGCGACUUAUAUUCUGUAGCAAGGUUAACCGAAUAGGGGAGCCGAAGGGAAACCGAGUCUUAACUGGGCGUUAAGUUGCAGGGUAUAGACCCGAAACCCGGUGAUCUAGCCAUGGGCAGGUUGAAGGUUGGGUAACACUAACUGGAGGACCGAACCGACUAAUGUUGAAAAAUUAGCGGAUGACUUGUGGCUGGGGGUGAAAGGCCAAUCAAACCGGGAGAUAGCUGGUUCUCCCCGAAAGCUAUUUAGGUAGCGCCUCGUGAAUUCAUCUCCGGGGGUAGAGCACUGUUUCGGCAAGGGGGUCAUCCCGACUUACCAACCCGAUGCAAACUGCGAAUACCGGAGAAUGUUAUCACGGGAGACACACGGCGGGUGCUAACGUCCGUCGUGAAGAGGGAAACAACCCAGACCGCCAGCUAAGGUCCCAAAGUCAUGGUUAAGUGGGAAACGAUGUGGGAAGGCCCAGACAGCCAGGAUGUUGGCUUAGAAGCAGCCAUCAUUUAAAGAAAGCGUAAUAGCUCACUGGUCGAGUCGGCCUGCGCGGAAGAUGUAACGGGGCUAAACCAUGCACCGAAGCUGCGGCAGCGACACUGUGUGUUGUUGGGUAGGGGAGCGUUCUGUAAGCCUGUGAAGGUGUCUGUGAGGAUGCUGGAGGUAUCAGAAGUGCGAAUGCUGACAUAAGUAACGAUAAAGCGGGUGAAAAGCCCGCUCGCCGGAAGACCAAGGGUUCCUGUCCAACGUUAAUCGGGGCAGGGUGAGUCGACCCCUAAGGCGAGGCCGAAAGGCGUAGUCGAUGGGAAACAGGUUAAUAUUCCUGUACUUGGUGUUACUGCGAAGGGGGGACGGAGAAGGCUAUGUUGGCCGGGCGACGGUUGUCCCGGUUUAAGCGUGUAGGCUGGUUUUCCAGGCAAAUCCGGAAAAUCAAGGCUGAGGCGUGAUGACGAGGCACUACGGUGCUGAAGCAACAAAUGCCCUGCUUCCAGGAAAAGCCUCUAAGCAUCAGGUAACAUCAAAUCGUACCCCAAACCGACACAGGUGGUCAGGUAGAGAAUACCAAGGCGCUUGAGAGAACUCGGGUGAAGGAACUAGGCAAAAUGGUGCCGUAACUUCGGGAGAAGGCACGCUGAUAUGUAGGUGAAGUCCCUCGCGGAUGGAGCUGAAAUCAGUCGAAGAUACCAGCUGGCUGCAACUGUUUAUUAAAAACACAGCACUGUGCAAACACGAAAGUGGACGUAUACGGUGUGACGCCUGCCCGGUGCCGGUAAGGUUAAUUGAUGGGGUCAGCGCAAGCGAAGCUCUUGAUCGAAGCCCCGGUAAACGGCGGCCGUAACUAUAACGGUCCUAAGGUAGCGAAAUUCCUUGUCGGGUAAGUUCCGACCUGCACGAAUGGCGUAAUGAUGGCCAGGCUGUCUCCACCCGAGACUCAGUGAAAUUGAACUCGCUGUGAAGAUGCAGUGUACCCGCGGCAAGACGGAAAGACCCCGUGAACCUUUACUAUAGCUUGACACUGAACAUUGAGCCUUGAUGUGUAGGAUAGGUGGGAGGCUUUGAAGUGUGGACGCCAGUCUGCAUGGAGCCGACCUUGAAAUACCACCCUUUAAUGUUUGAUGUUCUAACGUGGACCCGUGAUCCGGGUUGCGGACAGUGUCUGGUGGGUAGUUUGACUGGGGCGGUCUCCUCCUAAAGAGUAACGGAGGAGCACGAAGGUUGGCUAAUCCUGGUCGGACAUCAGGAGGUUAGUGCAAUGGCAUAAGCCAGCUUGACUGCGAGCGUGACGGCGCGAGCAGGUGCGAAAGCAGGUCAUAGUGAUCCGGUGGUUCUGAAUGGAAGGGCCAUCGCUCAACGGAUAAAAGGUACUCCGGGGAUAACAGGCUGAUACCGCCCAAGAGUUCAUAUCGACGGCGGUGUUUGGCACCUCGAUGUCGGCUCAUCACAUCCUGGGGCUGAAGUAGGUCCCAAGGGUAUGGCUGUUCGCCAUUUAAAGUGGUACGCGAGCUGGGUUUAGAACGUCGUGAGACAGUUCGGUCCCUAUCUGCCGUGGGCGCUGGAGAACUGAGGGGGGCUGCUCCUAGUACGAGAGGACCGGAGUGGACGCAUCACUGGUGUUCGGGUUGUCAUGCC